CAGCUGAUGGACUCGUCCAAUCAGAGCCUCGUAAACGCCGUGCAGCAGCGUCGAGUGUCCCGCAGACAGGAAGCGGGUCGUGUUUAGCUUGUCCCGUACGAGUGACUCUGUCUUCGGGGUAAAUAACUUGCUGAAGUCGACACGACACUGUUCCCUGGAGGAGAAGAUGAGUGCGUGUGGAGGCAGAGCCGCGGGCCCGGUGUGGACGAGUCGAGGCGGAGAAGACGGAAGCACAGUCCCUGAGUUACGCCUCAGCCCCCCCCCCCUCCACACACACACACACACACAAACAAAGAGGCUAGGCUGAGACGCUGAAAGUCCGGAUUUAAAGUGCAGAAAAUUAAGCCAUUGAAUCUGCCUGUCCAUGACGUACAAAGACACACUAUGAGCCAGUAUGAUCCGACCAGACCUUACAUCAGCAUUGAGGAGUUGUCGGAGAAGAAAGAGGCUGAUUGAAGCGGGACAGAUGACAUGGAUCCAUCCUUCCACAGCCAGGAGUGCACCGACCUGUGUCCCACACUUCAUAUAAGACUGGAAGCUACACUGAUCUCACAGCUACACACCACAGACGUCUACACACUGGAGAAGAGUCCCACAAAGAAGUCAUGACCCAGAGGCUGCAGAGAAACAUUUCAAGCCUCAUCUGAGUUUUUGUACAAUAUUUUUGCUGUAUGUAAAUAAAGCUUUCACUCCACAUA